ensembl:lncRNA
UCCAUGGUAACUGUCAAUAAUAAUAAUAAGUCACUGUUUGUGAAGGUAGUUAUAGACAGUACAGCAACAAUAACAAUAAUAAUAAUAAUAAUAAGUCACUGUUUGUUAAGGUAGUUAUAGACAGUACAGCAACAAUAAUAAUAAUAAUAAUAAUAAGUCACUGUUUGUUAAGGUAGUUAUAGACAGUACAGCAACAAUAAUAAUAAUAAGUCACUGUUUUAAGGUAGUUAUAGAUAGUGGCUAUUGUCUUUCAAUCUGUUAUUUUGUUAUAAUGUAUAGUAGUGGGUUGUUAGUGAUAUGUUAUAUUAUGUAAAGUAGACUAGGUUAUAAUGUAUAGUAGUGGGUUGUUAGUGAUAUGUAGAUGUUAUAUUAUAUAAAGUAGACUAGGUUAUAAUGUAUAGUAGUGGGUUGUUAGUGAUAUGUAGAUGUUAUAUUAUGUAAAGUAGACUAGAUUAUAAUGUAUAGUAGUGGGUUGUUAGUGAUAUGUUAUAUUAUGUAAAGUAGACUAGAUUAUAAUGUAUAGUAGUGGGUUGUUAGUGAUAUGUAGAUGUUAUAUUAUGUAAAGUAGACUACGUUAUAAUGUAUAGUAGUGGGUUGUUAGUGAUAUAUAGAUGUUAUAUUAUGUAAAGUAGGCUAGGUUAUGUAUAGUAGUGGUUUGUUAGUGAUAUGUAGAUCAAGGUGUAAACCUCGGAUAUAGCCUACAUAUCAUAGAUGACCAGUCUAAAUCUGUUC